GAAUGAAGAACGCAGCAAAAUGCGAUACUUGGUGUGAAUUGCAGAAUCCCGUGAACCAUCGAGUUUUUGAACGCAAGUUGCGCCCGAAGCCUUUUGGCCGAGGGCACGUCUGCCUGGGCGUCACGCAUCGCGUCGCCCCCCACAAUUCUCCGUAAAGGGAACGUGUGUUUUGGGGGCGGAUAUUGGUCUCCCGUGCUCAUGGCGUGGUUGGCCGAAAUAGGAGUCCUUUCGAUGGACGCACGAACUAGUGGUGGUCGUAAAAACCCUCGUCUUUUGUUUCGUGCUGUUGCUCGCAAGGUAAACUCUUUAAAAACCCCAAUGUGUCGUCUCUUGACGACGCUUCGACCGCGACCCCAGGUCAGGCGGGACUACCCGCUGAGUUUAAGCAUAUCAAUAAGCGGAGGA
rnacentral:misc_RNA from 1 species